UACGUAGGGUGCAAGCGUUGUCCGGAAUUAUUGGGCGUAAAGAGCUCGUAGGCGGUUUGUUGCGUCGGCUGUGAAAUCCCGAGGCUCAACCUCGGGUCUGCAGUCGAUACGAGCAAACUAGAGUGUUGCAGGGGAGACUGGAAUUCCUGGUGUAGCGGUGAAAUGCGCAGAUAUCAGGAGGAACACCGAUGGCGAAGGCAGAUCUCUGGGCCGUAACUGACGCUGAGGAGCGAAAGCGUGGGUAGCAAACAGG
rnacentral:rRNA from 1 species